UGCAGUCGCACGGUUUCUUUCGGGGGGCAGUGGCGGACGGGUGAGUAUCGCGUAGGGAUUUAUCGUUGGGUGGGGGAUAACCGCGGGAAACUGCGGCUAAUACCGCAUGACGCCUGUGGGCCAAAGGUCGCAAGACUGCCUGAUGAGGAGCCUGCGUUCGAUUAGCUAGUUGGUUGGGUAAUGGCUGACCAAGGCGAUGAUCGAUAGCUGGUCUGAGAGGAUGAUCAGCCACACUGGGACUGAGACACGGCCCAGACUCCUACGGGAGGCAGCAGUGGGGAAUAUUGGACAAUGGGCGCAAGCCUGAUCCAGCAAUGCCGCGUGGAUGAAGAAGGUCUUCGGAUUGUAAAGUCCUUUCGGCGGGGACGAUGAUGACGGUACCCGCAGAAGAAGCCCCGGCUAACUUCGUGCCAGCAGCCGCGGUAAUACGAAGGGGGCUAGCGUUGCUCGGAAUGACUGGGCGUAAAGGGCGCGUAGGCGGACAUAUUAGUCAGGCGUGAAAUUCCUGGGCUUAACCUGGGGGCUGCGUUUGAUACGGUGUGUCUAGAGUUUGGAAGAGGGUCGUGGAAUUCCCAGUGUAGAGGUGAAAUUCGUAGAUAUUGGGAAGAACACCGGUGGCGAAGGCGGCGACCUGGUUCCUUGACUGACGCUGAGCGCGAAAGCGUGGGGGAGCAAACAGGAUUAGAUACCCUGUAGUCCACGCUGUAAACGAUGUGCGCUGGAUGUGGGCAGCUAGCUGCUCAGUGUCGUAGCUAACGCGAUAAGCGCACCGCUGGGAGUACGCGCAGUGGAACUCAAGAUGACGGGCCCGACAGCGUGAGCAUGUGNUAUCGAGCAACGGCAAAACCUUACCAGGCUGACUUGGCAGACUGAUCAGAUUGG
rnacentral:rRNA from 1 species